rnacentral:lncRNA from 1 species
AAACGCCUUAUAAAAAAAAAAACUAUGGAGCUCAUUAGGAGGAGUCUCUAGAGUAAUAUAAGUGACAUAAUCUAGAAGUAAAGUUGGUCAACCAAUCAUCACAACGAUUGUCCUCCCUCCAGGUGUACUAAAACUGGACACGUCAAUCCAAACUUGCAGUUAUAUGUUAACUAUAUCAAUCAAAAUUUUGGAGUAACUUUCUAUAAUGAGUUGCAGAAUGCACUCCUUCCGAGACAUAUCCAAACCUUGGUAAUAUAGCUUUUAUUUACCAUCUCUCACCAGAGAUGCAAAAAAGACCGCCACAACAUGAAGACUCUCCACCUCAUUUGCAAGCACCAUCGCUAUUGAACUUUAUUCAUCCACCAACACAAGUUGAUUCCUUUUGUAAAAUUUUGGAUUACCAAAGCAAUGUUUGGUUGCUGAAAAUCAUCUUCAAAAAUAGCUUUGUUUCUCCAAGUUCACAGGAAACAACAAGUGAUCAUCAAAAUUGUCUUCUAGUACUUCUCAAGCGAAGCUCCAAUCUCAAGCUUAUUCAUGUUAUUGAAAAUUAAAUUUUAGAUGGAACCAAUAAAUAAAUAAAAAUACAAUUUUGAUAAUCUUUAAUACACAAUAAAUAAAUAAUCUCAAGCUUAUUGAUG